rnacentral:rRNA from 1 species
AUUGAACGCUGGCGGCAUGCCUAACACAUGCAAGUCGAACGGCAGCACGGCAGUAGCAAUACUGUGGGUGGCGAGUGGCGGACGGGUGAGGAAUACGUCGGAAUCUGCCCAGUCGUGGGGGAUAACUAGCCGAAAGGUUAGCUAAUACCGCAUACGACCGAGAGGUGAAAGCGGGGGACCGCAAGGCCUCGCGCGAUUGGAUGAGCCGACGUCGGAUUAGCUAGUUGGUGGGGUAAAGGCCCACCAAGGCGACGAUCCGUAGCUGGUCUGAGAGGAUGAUCAGCCACACUGGAACUGAGACACGGUCCAGACUCCUACGGGAGGCAGCAGUGGGGAAUAUUGGACAAUGGGCGCAAGCCUGAUCCAGCAAUGCCGCGUGUGUGAAGAAGGCCUCGGUUGUAAGACACUUUAUACUAGGAACGAAAGACGUUAGGAGUUAA